AUGAGUUCAAAAAGACAUUGGGCUAAACAUGUUCCUUUACUGCAGGACAUUUUAUCUUUAAUGAAUUCCAGGAGUAUUUCUUGCCACAAGAACUCUUUUUUAAAAAUUAAAAAAAAAAAAAAAAAAAAGCACUGGAAAGAGGCAAGAACUAGGCUAUUACUUGGCCAGUGAUUGUUCAGUUACUUCUUCCUGCCUCAAUGUCCUGCUUUGUAAAAUGGGGAUCCUAAUACCUGACUCUGCUCCACAGAAUAAGAGAAAUGCUAUCUGUGAGAACACUUGAGCUGCUUUGGAAGAAAAGCAUGAGAAUAUUGUAAGUUCAAAGAGCAAAGAGUACAAAAUAAGACAAUGAACACAGCAAGAAAGUAACAGAAGAAACGAGCAGUACUGGGCACUUCGUCACAAGUUAUUCCCUAUUCUCUCUCUGCCAUCUAACUUCAGAAUAUCAUGCAGUGUCAUAGGGGCUGGGGUUUGUGUCCGUACUGCCAAACGCUGUCACGUUCUCUAGAACCCAGUACUACAGGGAAACGCGAAGGGAUGUAAUCCACCGCUGAGAAACAGACUUCCACUCCUCUGUCUGCCUCCCCUCUCAGGCUAUAAACCGUGAUAUUUGAUGUGAGCACAAGGCUUCACUUGUUUUACUACAAAUAUCCAAAUACGUGGGUGGACUCAUUCUAGCAAGGAAUGUCAUCACAGUUCAGAUCUGCUGAUUCCGCAGCAUGAAGCUGCCAACCAUUUAUUUGCCUCUCCCCCAAUAGCGUAUGAAGCACUUUUCUUACUGAAAAGUAGGUAGGCUGCAGUACGAAAACAGUUGAUUUCAUAGAAGCAUAGAGGUAGGCAGGCUCGGAAGGGUAACAGAGGGAAGGGAUGGGAGGGGGCAGAUAGAGGGAGGCCGGAUACCAAGUACCAAAGCACCAUGUUACACAGCACAGUUGGAUGACUUAAGUUUACAACAACUUAUUUUAUAUAUAUAUUUAUAUAUAUAUUUAAAGAUUUAUUUAUUUAUUUGAAAGUCAGAGUUACAGAGAGAGAGAGAGAGAGAGAGAGAGAGAGGUCUUCAUCUGCUGGUUUACUCCCCAAUUUGCUGCAACAGCUGGAGCUGCUGCACCGUUCUGAAGCCAGGAGCCAG
rnacentral:lncRNA from 1 species